UACAGAGGUGGCAAGCGUUGUUCGGAAUUACUGGGCGUAAAGGGCGCGUAGGCGGUUCGUUAAGUCCUGUGUGAAAUCCCCCGGCUCAACUGGGGAACUGCACAGGAAACUAGCGGGCUUGAGUUCGGGAGAGGGAAGCGGAAUUCCCAGUGUAGCGGUGAAAUGCGUAGAUAUUGGGAGGAACACCAGUGGCGAAGGCGGCUACCUGGACCGGUUCUGACGCUGAUGCGCGAAAGCGUGGGGAGCAAACAGG
rnacentral:rRNA from 1 species